rnacentral:rRNA from 1 species
UACGUAGGGUGCAAGCGUUAAUCGGAAUUACUGGGCGUAAAGCGUGCGCAGGCGGUGAUGUAAGACAGAUGUGAAAUGCCCGGGCUUAACCUGGGAACUGCAUUUGUGACUGCAUGGCUAGAGUGUGUCAGAGGGGGGUAGAAUUCCACGUGUAGCAGUGAAAUGCGUAGAUAUGUGGAGGAACACCGAUGGCGAAGGCAGCCCCCUGGGUCAAGAUUGACGCUCAUGCACGAAAGCGUGGGGAGCAAACAGG